CUUGUUCGGUUGGCGCCCUAUUGUUUUCCUUUCCUUUCUCUUACUCGGUCGCUCUGAACUAUAUGCAGCUUUCCAAUUUCAAUCAAUUUUUGAAGAAAGCUCAGAAGCUACAAGCUACAACUUCGAGAACAGUGAACGGUCGGUUUACCUAUCUGAGGAUCGGAAGGUGCAUUAAAUCGAGAUUGGCCCUGGGAAUUCCGGCAUGGAAAUUUCUUUGGAUCUGGCAAACGAUGGUGCAAAGACUUCAAUCAUUGUUCAAAGCUCGGUUCAUUUUUUGUCAAGAAGGAUGGUUUACUUGGCCUUGGUUUUGUUAAGAUAUCUUUCAUUUAGCAGAGUGGAUUUUUUGAUGGUUUUGCUUAGCAAGUUCGUUUAUGGACGCCUGACCCAAGUACAGGAUAGCCAGGCUAAAAGGGGGCCCUUUCUUAUGAAUAUCAAGUACGACAAGUAUCCGGCCAUUGAUGUCGGCGCCUGUAGUAAGAUCAAGUCCGACGAGAUUAAGGUUUUACCCGCAGAAAUAGGCAGCAUAAGAGGAAGCGAUGUGGAACUCAAAAAGGGGAAGUCAUACCAGUUUGAGUCCAUCGUUUUCUGCACCGGAUUCAAGACAUCAACAAGUUUGUGGCUCAAGAUGAUUAUCUUUUGAAAGAAGAUGGGAUUCCAAGACCAAGUUCUCCAAACCAUUCGAAGGGACAGAAGGAAUGAUUGGCUUCUAGCACCAUGUAGUUUGGAGCCAAAAUUUGUUUAAUCACCUCUCUUCGGGAUACUGAAUUGCUACAUUGAGAUCCUUCCUAAAGACAGGAAUCCUAGAACAAGAGCUUUGGCUGAGCUUUUGGAGCGAAGUGCAUUACAACUCACUAUAUGCUACUGCAGAUUUUUCCACAAGAAGUCCCAAAAAGAACCAUUGGCUUUUCUAGACUGCAAUUAGCAAGCAGACAGACCAUGAUGUAAUCUUAAUCUGCUUGCCGGUAUCCAUUCUACUGUCUUUGGCAGAAUUAGAAAAUGGGACAGUGCACCUUGGUUGUUUCCGAGGACCAUUCUAUUGAUGAUGUGCUUGAACCAGAUUGUCAUUGUUUACCUUGGUGUUUGGGUAGCGCAGCAGCUGGUCAUUUCUUUCUACGAGUGCAGCAAUUGGAUAUUCGCUGUGAAACAAAGACCAAGAUUUAUUUUUAAUUUUCUUUAUACACAAAAGAUUGAUAUUAACUUUCUAUACACCGAGCAAGCACUGCACACGCGCUCUGGCCGGAUCUCUUAGUUCUCUCACUAAUGUAAAGACUUUGUGUUGUUUCUCUUAAUUGUCUAUGUCUAUGUAUAUAUUUGUCCUCUGUUGGUUUAGUUAUUUAAGGUGCUUAUGGUUGUUACUUAUUUUUCCCAGUUUCAUUUGCUUCCUUCCAUUUUGGAUUUUUA